GUGGGAGACUGUGAAGCUAUCACGCUAGUGGUGGUGGAGUCGUUGUUGAAAUACCACUCUGAUCGGAUUGAGCAUCUAACCUUGGCCCAUGAUCUGGGUUGGGGACAGUGCCUGGUGGGUAGUUUAACUGGGGCGGUUGCCUCCCAAAAUGUAACGGAGGCGCCCAAAGGUUCCCUCAGCCUGGUUGGCAAUCAGGUGGUGAGUGUAAGUGCACAAGGGAGCUUGAC
rnacentral:rRNA from 1 species